AAUGUGGGAAACCAAGCUGAAAGGUCUGUUUUGUUUUGUUGUUGUUUUGUUUUGGUUUGUUUUUUUUUUUUUUUCAGAGUUCUUUUCAAACCCAGUUUCCCUUUUUCAAACUUUAAAACCUGCAUAAUUCUGCAGAUGUCCUAGGGUUUGAGUCAGUAACUUGUGAAUGAAAGUCAUUGGUAUUUGGCUUUGUGGUUACAGUACUAAUUUUACUUUGCUGCUCAGUUUUGAAAGUGUGUGAGCUACAUAGGUCUCCCUGUAGGAAAUGUGAAAAAAAGCACAAUAGAACCAGGCUAGGGGCUUUGUUCCUGCUUUUUGUUUUGUUUGGUUUUACUAUCAGAUGGAUGGAUUUGUGUUUGUCUCAGAGCAGCAUAUACAUGCAGUCAGUAAGCAUGUUUGAAAGGACCAUAAAAACCAGAGAAAUGCUGAUGGGAACUUGGAAGUUCAGAAACCAAGGGGAAAUGUCCUGAGAUAACAUUUGCAUUGUCGACCUCAGUUGACUGUUUUUACAAUAAAAAUAUUUUGCAGC
rnacentral:lncRNA from 1 species